rnacentral:rRNA from 1 species
GACGGAGGAUGCAAGUGUUAUCCGGAAUCACUGGGCGUAAAGCGUCUGUAGGUGGUUUACUAAGUCAACUGUUAAAUCUUGAGGCUUAACCUCAAAAUCGCAGUCGAAACUAUUAGGCUAGAGUAUAGUAGGGGUAAAGGGAAUUUCCAGUGGAGCGGUGAAAUGCGUAGAGAUUGGAAAGAACACCGAUGGCGAAGGCACUUUACUGGGCUAUUACUAACACUCAGAGACGAAAGCUGGGGUAGCAAAUGGG